rnacentral:rRNA from 1 species
UUCUGCCCUAUCAACUAGUUGGUAAGGUAGUGGCUUACCAAGGUGAUAACGGGUAACGGGGAAUCAGGGUUCGAUUCCGGAGAGGGAGCCUGAGAAACGGCUACCACAUCCAAGGACGGCAGCAGGCGCGCAAAUUACCCAAUCCAGACACUGGGAGGUGGUGACGAGAAAUACCAGGUCGCUCCCAAAAGGAUUCGACACUGGAUGAGUUUAAUUUAAAAAUUUAAAUGAGUAACAACUGGAGGGCAAGUCUGGUGCCAGCAGCCGCGGUAAUUCCAGCUCCAGUAGUGUAUCCAAACGUUGCUGCGGUUAAAACGCUCGUAAGUUGGACAAGAGAGUGACUUGGCGCGGGCGGGGAGUGUGAUUGCUUCUAUGUCUUAUCCUGCAUACGUUGAUGCAACUGGUUUUACAAUAGUAGGCCAGUUGAGUUGAUAGUGCAGGAUGUAGCAUAGAGGUGCACUUGUCGACCAUGCAGCCAGGUCACUUGUAAUGAUUCGUGAGAAUGGUACAUGGUCUUAAAUGUACUGUGUACUGUGUCUUACGUAGUGUGCCUUGAAUAAAUCAGAGUGCUCAAAGCAAGCUAUCGCUUGAAUGUUAAUAGCAUGGAACGAAUGUGUUGUGAGAGUGUGCUAUCGGGAGUCACUCGUGAUGACUGGUAGUACAUAGCACCAACCGCGAAGCGGAACAUUGGUCGCCGACUUCGGGUGAGGAUUAAGAGGGGCAUUUGGGGGCAUUAGUAUUUGGUCGCGAGAGGUGAAAUUCUUGGACCGGCCAAGGACUAACAAGUGCGAAAGCAUUUGCCAAGGAUGUUCCCUUUAAUCAAGAACGAAAGUGAGAGGUUCGAAGACGAUCAGAUACCGUCCUAGUUCUCACCGUAAACGAUGCCAACCCGGGAUCAGCUCGGAUGAUUUCAUUUGGAUCCAGGUUGGUCCCCCGCGAAACC